GGAUCUAUUAACCUAACCAAUACCUGCUAAAAAACUCUCAUGGAUGACUGAUAAAUCCACAGAGAUACGACUAAUGAUUUCUUAUGUGAGAUAAAAGUUGGUAAGAUCGAUAUUAUUUUAUUUAUUUAUUUGUAUAUCACUAUCAACUACAUUAUUAGGCCUAAUUACACUAGUUAUUCUGAAAAAUGCUGCAUGUUUGCAGACAGAUGAAAAAAAGACAAGAAGAAGGGUGAUAAAAAUCAUGCCAGUACCAGAUACCGAUGAUAUUGGUCGACGGCGAUAUCUCCGUUGCUUCCAUCAAUUAUGUUGCCUACAACAAGAACCUGAAAGGUUUAAAUCCUGCUCAAAGUGGUAAUAUUAAUUCUUAACGUGUAAAUCUUCAUUGAAUCUUUGCUAAGUUCUUACCUGGUUUAUGUGUAUGGACAUCCCAGUUGCUCAAACCUUUUCCAUCACUCAGGUAAGCUCCUUCAAACUACAAAGUGCAAGACAAAGGAAAUCGUUAAGCUUAUGUAAGAGAAACAGGAAGGUGGUAGAAGAGAAAAACCUG
rnacentral:lncRNA from 1 species